rnacentral:rRNA from 1 species
CUAGUGAUUAGAGUUUGAUCCAUGNCUCAGAUUGAACGCUGGCGGCAUGCUUUACACAUCCAAGUCGAACGGUAACGCGGACUUCGGUCUGGCGACGAGUGGCGAACGGGUGAGUAAUGCAUCGGAACGUAUCCAUUUGUGGGGGAUAGCCCGGCGAAAGCCGGAUUAAUACCGCAUAAUCUCUGAGGAGGAAAGUGGGGGACCUUCGGGCCUUACGCUGAUGGAGCGGCUGAUGUCGGAUUAGCUUGUUGGUAGGGUAAAGGCCUACCAAGGCGACGAUCCGUAGCUGGUCUGAGAGGACGACCAGCCACACUGGAACUGAGACACGGUCCAGACUCCUACGGGAGGCAGCAGUGGGGAAUUUUGGACAAUGGGGGCAACCCUGAUCCAGCCAUGCCGCGUGCGGGAAGAAGGCCUUCGGGUUGUAAACCGCUUUCAGACGGAAAGAAACAGUACAAGCUUAAU